GCUGUCGGAAAGGGAGAGAAUCCGGGAAACCGGAUCGCCGAAGGAGCAACCGCCCCGGAAACUCUCAGGCAAAAGGACCUUCCGGCCACC
rfam:Sphingomonas sp. WG contig_8, whole genome shotgun sequence.